CAACAACAACACUGUUUCCAGUGACUUUCAACAACUACAUCGUUUCCAGUGAAAUUCAGCAACAACUACAUUGUUUCCUAUCAUCUAGGAAUAUAAAGGCUUUGAUUUUUUUCCAGUAUAGUUUAGAUUUUCAGGGAACACUUCAACCAAGACAUCGAUGAAGCAAAGAACUUGAUUACAAGGUACAAUCAUGACUAUCAAUGCCUAGCUAUUUUUCGGACUUGACUAACACAAAGGGUGCAAUCUGUAGGUUCAGGGAGCUCCUAUGCUUUUUCCGAGCAAAGAUGACUU
rnacentral:lncRNA from 1 species